CACAACAAUUUCGCAUUACCUAAAAUUUAUGUUCAAAAAUUUUUCACAUUGCGUUCAUAUGAAAUUUUGUGCCAUUUACGUGUCCAUAGCUGUAUUUUAUUGUAAUUGGGUCUCUCUGUCUCUCUUUGAGGACGCAUUUGUUUUUUCUUGCUGCAUCCAUGUAGACUGUCCUAUUCAGCCGCCUUUGAAUAUAUCCUAACACUCCCCUUUAAUCACAUACCCUUUCUCCAAUCAACAACAAAUAAAAAAGUAUGUAUCUCUCCUUCCGUCAAUAGAUUAUUGCAUAUUUUGAAAAUGUAAUCUGUAGGUGAAUUGAAUACAUUUAAAGCUAGAGUGUUUAGAUAAACGAGUGCUUAGACCAAAGCCAUCAUCUUAAUACUUUUAGUUAUAGAAAAUAAUAAAAUUGUGAAGUAAAUUACAGAAACAAAGCUUUUUUUUCAACAGUUUGUUCUUCCCGGAGAGUAAACACAGGGUGGUAUUCUUUUUAAAUUUUAGCACAAACUGCAUUGACUACAAGAUUUACUACGUUUAAUGCGGGAGUAAAUAAAGAGAAAUACCAAAAACAAAAAAAUAGUUGAAAAUAAGAAGAAGCACUAGCAGGAAAAAAUCUUACGUUAGUUCGAUGUUCUUAUGAAACAAGUCCCCACAGCUCUAAUCUAUUGCAAUGCUUGAAGUUUGGCAAGCGCUUGAUCACAGCUUUGAAUAUGAUUUAAAAAAUUUGCAAAAUAACAUUGGCAACUCUAUACCCUACACUAGCACACAAUUAUACCGUCUCGCCGUUUCUGGUUCGUUGAUCAUCUCGUAGUCGCCAUCGUUACAGACUCGUUUCAGCUGAUUUAUAUGCUUGCAAUGCAAUAAACGUUGCACUUUGCCACCCAAACGAAUCCAAGUGGAUUCCAUCGGCACUCGUCUCGCAUGCACAUGCGACUACUUGCGCGCAGCACACGCCGAAAUUGGGAGUAUGUGUUGGAAUGACUGGAAUGCGGUGUUGUGUGCAAUCGGGCAUUGUGGGCCACAUGGAAUCAUAGAGGAGUACAAAACAAACCAAAAAAAAAAACAAAAAACGAAAAGCAAAACAACAAAAAGUAAUCGGUGACAGAGAUGUCUUGUUAACAGUAUGCGCACUCGCUCUUGGCACACUGCUAUUGUGACUAUUACAUGGUGACAGAUGAACAAGCUACUCAAAGCCGCAACAGACACGGUUGGGGCAAUUUAAGAGCACACAGCUCCAACUAGUUAAUGUCGUUGGUCGGAGGACACAAAUUCUUACUGAAACGUGUACGACGGAAAUGAAGAGAAUUUUUUGUAUUAGUUGACUACUACGAGUAAAAUACAACAUUUGCUUAUCAUCGAUUAUAUUUCUCCACUGCAGCCAUGUUUGUAUGUUUGGCCUCAGUCGCCGCGUAAAUGCAGUAACGCGCUAAAGUUUGAUGUUUGCUUUGCCUUGCCUUUGCCUGCGCUCUGUGUUGUGCAGCAUUGCUUGGGGAAUUUGGGGAGUUGUGUGUAGGCUAGGCUAUGUUUAUUUGCUUAGAUAUACUGUUGUUGUUGUUGCUGUACUUGUGUUUGGCUUCUACUGAUGCUCAGCCACGGUUCGAUUCGACUCGCGCUACGCGUGCAUGUCGUUAAACAAUUCAAUGGGUUGGUUGCCUGCCUGCCUGCGCCAUUGCUGUUGCUCGAAUGCGAGCAAAAUAAAUUCAAAGCACGAAUAACAUAACAUACAUGAAAUAAUGCGAGUAUACAGAAACAGCAACACAAAUCUGCAAGUGCAGAAACAAUGCGUUGGAGAUCUUGGUGAGAAAAUUCAAAAACAUCCAAUUAGUUUGUGUGUGUGUAUGUGUGUGUGAAUGUGUGUUAUCUGGGGCCGUUUUUGUACGGAGAGUCGUUUUUUUUUUUGUUAUUGUAUGUACAUAGAAGGUGUAUUUCAUUUGAGAAGUGGAACAGUGAGAAAUUGGUGGAAGUAGUCGCUUAAGCAAGAGAAGAACUUUGAGGGGGGGAAAUGUGAAAUUUAAACUGCGUGUAGCGGUGGAAAUUGGAUUUUGGUAUAUACAACUUUUUAAAGUGUGAACUAACAGUUAGGAAAAUGCAACCAUACUGUGAGCUAUUUCCUUGAUUGUUUGUGUUGGUAUUAAAAAUUGUGUUGAAAUUUAAUGCGAUUUUAAGUGUCUGUCUUUAAAUUAAUGGUGUGCAAAUCAAACGAUCUGAACUUCAGAAUAUUAUUGCUUGUAAGCUAACCGUAAACGAUUAUAAGUUUUGACACUAAGCUGAUCUGGAGCACUUGAUGGUUAUGUUAAAAGAAUUUCUUAAGGCUGUUAGCUUAUAACACCGGGUACCCUUGAGUCACGCUCAUCUUAUAGUAUGGAUGAUCCAGCGCCUCAACAAAAAUGAGCCGUACGUCGUGCGGAUGGCGCCCCUAGUGUCGCCUCAAGAGGAAGAAAGCAACCGUGUGUUCCCUUAUUAUUAAAGAUUAAAAAUAUAUUGGUAUUUUCAGUAAAGACCAACCGUCUUAGCGCUCCAAUUUGGGGAGAGGUAGGUACAAAUUGUGUCAGAAAGUUUUGCAAAUCAAAAAAUUGGAGCUUUAGUGGGGAUUUUUAAAAGUGUUUAAGGAAUAUCGACGCUUUGGAGUGGAAUAUGUAAUUAUUGUAUUUAGUAGGUCAUGAUUUUGGAAUUAAC